ACUUUUCUAGUACAACUAAAUACAAGUGACUUCCACUCACUAAAUCUUAACACCUACCUUAAGGAAAAGUA
rnacentral:tRNA from 1 species